AGACUUUGCUCCUUACAAAUGGAUAACGAUGAGACGUUGUACGGAGC
rnacentral:ncRNA from 1 species